AAGAGUAUUGCUGGGUUAUAUAGGUAGUUCUAUGUUUAAUUUUUGAGGAACUGCCAAAUUGCUUUGCAUGGCAGUUGUACCAUUUUACAUUCCCACCAGCAAU
rnacentral:pre_miRNA from 1 species